rnacentral:rRNA from 1 species
GCAAGCCACACACUGGGCACCGAGACCGACGGCUCCAUACUCUGCCCGUCCUCGUUCAACUCGGUAGUCGGCAUCAAGCCCACCCUCGGGCUCACGAGCCGGGCCGGCGUCGUGCCCAUCACCCCGUUGCAGGACACCGUCGGACCCAUGUGCCGGACGGUGUCGGACGCGGUGCACGUGCUGGACGCCAUCGUCGGCUACGACGAGAACGACGCCGCGGCCACCGGAUCAGCGUCCAAGUACAUCCCUCACGGCGGGUACACGCAGUUCCUGAAGAAAGACGGGCUGAAAGGGAAGAGGAUCGGCGUCCCCAAUGGCUUCUUCCAGAGAUAUGGGCAGACGCAGCUGAAUGUGUACAAGCAGCACCUCACCACAAUGAGGGAACUCGGAGCAGUGGUGAUUGAGAAGCUGGACGUCGCUGCCAAUUUGAGCGCUCUAUUGGAUGAGAUUGGUUCCAACGAGGCGAUUGCGAUGCAGGCAGAGUUCAAGCUAAGCAUAAACGCCUACUUGGCAGACUUGGUCCACUCCCCGGUCCAUUCGCUUGCAGACAUCAUAGCCUUCAACAACAAUCAUCCUGUGGAGGAGAGACUGAAAGAUUUCAGGCAGCCCGACCUUAUCUCGGCCCAAAACACAAACGGCAUCGGCCCCAGGGAGAGAGCCGCGAUCGGUCGCCUGAAGGAACUGAACGUGGAAGGGCUAGAGAACCUGAUGAAGGAACGCCAACUGGACGCGAUCGUGGCGCCUAACAGCGUUAUUUCUAGCCUUCUCGCCAUCGGUGGACAUCCUGGCAUCGUUGUGCCGGCAGGCUACGACGAGAAGGGGGUCCCCUUUGGCAUAUGUUUCGGCGGGCUGCAGGGGUACGAGCCGAGGCUGAUCGAGGUGGCCUAUGCUUUCGAGCAGGCUACCAAAGUUAGAAGGCAACCCAUGUUCAAGCCCUAG